AUUGAACGCUGGCGGCAGGCCUAACACAUGCAAGUCGAACGGUAGCAGGAAGCAGCUUGCUGCUUCGCUGACGAGUGGCGGACGGGUGAGUAAUGUCUGGGAAGCUGCCUGAUGGAGGGGGAUAACUACUGGAAACGGUAGCUAAUACCGCAUAAUGUCGCAAGACCAAAGAGGGGGACCUUCGGGCCUCUUGCCAUCGGAUGUGCCCAGAUGGGAUUAGCUUGUUGGUGGGGUAACGGCUCACCAAGGCGACGAUCCCUAGCUGGUCUGAGAGGAUGACCAGCCACACUGGAACUGAGACACGGUCCAGACUCCUACGGGAGGCAGCAGUGGGGAAUAUUGCACAAUGGGCGCAAGCCUGAUGCAGCCAUGCCGCGUGUAUGAAGAAGGCCUUCGGGUUGCAAAGUACUUUCAGCGGGGAGGAAGGGAGUAAAGUUAAUACCUUUGCUCAUUGACGUUACCCGCAGAAGAAGCACCGGCUAACUCCGUG
rnacentral:rRNA from 1 species